rnacentral:misc_RNA from 1 species
AAGCCUUUAUCCAAAAAAUUUAGGAAUUUAUAGCCUCUAUGAACUAAAAAUCUGGGGUACUUUUUUCUUCAUUUUUCUUUUUAUGGCGAAGAUGAUUUCAUCAAACAACCACAAUGUUGACAAGAAAACUUGAGGACAAUAAUUUGCAUGUCAACUCAAUGCGAAGUGAAGUUAGUAUAAGAGGCCCAAACUCAACAUAUAGAUUAUAAAAUCAUUAGCUAAGGCAGCUAAUCGAAAUGGAAAUAACAACUACCUGUGCAAUUAACAUUUCAGUUAUCAUCAAGUGUACACCCUAAGAUAGCAUAUAAAACACAUCCAGGCAACAGUAAUCAAUGCAGGAAAGGAAAGAGACACAAACCUAUUUCAACAUAGCAAAAACAUCCCAACUCUAUCACAAUUCAAAAGGUUCAUAUAACUUCAUCCAAACUUUCCCCUAAAAUUGUUUCAAAUUCUCAUAGGGUAGUGGCACAGUCAAAACAUUAAAUAUCUUUCCCCAUCAAACAAUUCAUAGAAAUACAAACUAUAGUUUGCAAGCAGGCCAUCAAACCAUUACCAGUCCAUUCCCAUGUUUUUUAACACUAGAAUAUUUUACUUUGUACAUCCGGAGGGAACAUUUUGCCAUCAGUACUUCUGGCUUCUUAACGCAACAAUCACAAUACAAGAAUUUGUAUCUAUUAUUUUAGAAUACCUUUAGAUCAUUCUUAUUCGAGUAUUUCACAACUAGGUUAUAAAUGAUAUUCUUAAAAAUUGAAUUACAUAAAUCACAAAACAUAUAAUUCUUUUUUUUUUUAACUCUUUAGUAUAAACAAUAUAUUUUGCAGUAACAGUUUUCAGAAUUGAUAAAAUUCAUGCAAUGCAUAAAUUUAAAAGAUGGGCCAAAAUUCAAACAAAAAGCCUUCAAUUUCAGUCAUCCAUUUUUACUGGAGCAUUACAUAGCCCUUAGAAGGUAAAAUUCCUAGCAGAAUACGAUAAGUUGGAUUCCAGUAAUAAUUAGCAAAGCCUCUCAACUCAACUCAACUAAGCCUU